CGCUAGCUACAGGCUUAACACAUGCAAGUCGAGGGUCAGCAUGGUCUUAGCUUGCUAAGGCCGAUGGCGACCGGCGCACGGGUGAGUAACACGUAUCCAACCUGCCGUCUACUCUUGGACAGCCUUCUGAAAGGAAGAUUAAUACAAGAUGGCAUCAUGAGUCCGCAUGUUCACAUGAUUAAAGGUAUUCCGGUAGACGAUGGGGAUGCGUUCCAUUAGAUAGUAGGCGGGGUAACGGCCCACCUAGUCUUCGAUGGAUAGGGGUUCUGAGAGGAAGGUCCCCCACAUUGGAACUGAGACACGGUCCAAACUCCUACGGGAGGCAGCAGUGAGGAAUAUUGGUCAAUGGGCGAGAGCCUGAACCAGCCAAGUAGCGUGAAGGAUGACUGCCCUAUGGGUUGUAAACUUCUUUUAUAAAGGAAUAAAGUCGGGUAUGGAUACCCGUUUGCAUGUACUUUAUGAAUAAGGAUCGGCUAACUCCGUGCCAGCAGCCGCGGUAAUACGGAGGAUCCGAGCGUUAUCCGGAUUUAUUGGGUUUAAAGGGAGCGUAGAUGGAUGUUUAAGUCAGUUGUGAAAGUUUGCGGCUCAACCGUAAAAUUGCAGUUGAUACUGGAUAUCUUGAGUGCAGUUGAGGCAGGCGGAAUUCGUGGUGUAGCGGUGAAAUGCUUAGAUAUCACGAAGAACUCCGAUUGCGAAGGCAGCCUGCUAAGCUGCAACUGACAUUGAGGCUCGAAAGUGUGGGUAUCAAACAGGAUUAAAUACCCUGGUAGUCCACACGGUAACGAUGAAUACUCGCUGUUUGCGAUAUACACAAAGCGGCCAAGCGAAAGCGUUAAGUAUUCCACCUGGGGAGUACGCCGGCAACGGUGAAACUCAAAGGAAUUGACGGGGGCCCGCACAAGCGGAGGAACAUGUGGUUUAAUUCGAUAAUACGCGAGGAACCUUACCCGGGCUUAAAUUGCAGAUGAAUUACGGGAAAAGCCGUAAGCCGCAAGGCAUCUGUGAAGGUGCUGCAUGGUUGUCGUCAGCUCGUGCCGUGAGGUGUCGGCUUAAGUGCCAUAACGAGCGCAACCCUUGUUGUCAGUUACUAACAGGUUCCGCUGAGGACUCUGACAAGACUGCCAUCGUAAGAUGUGAGGAAGGUGGGGAUGACGUCAAAUCAGCACGGCCCUUACGUCCGGGGCUACACACGUGUUACAAUGGGGGGUACAGAGGGCCGCUACCACGCGAGUGGAUGCCAAUCCCCAAAACCUCUCUCAGUUCGGACUGGAGUCUGCAACCCGACUCCACGAAGCUGGAUUCGCUAGUAAUCGCGCAUCAGCCACGGCGCGGUGAAUACGUUCCCGGGCCUUGUACACACCGCCC
rnacentral:rRNA from 1 species